CAAGUUCCCACAAGCCUGCGUGGCUCCAGUCUCUAAUCAGAGCCUGUAUCUGGCACAUGGCUUCGUCUUUGCCCUUGGGCUCCCUGAGAAACCCCGGGAUCUCUACGGUACACCGUCUCUGGCAUUUACGGACUGUGGCAGAAACCAUGAGUGAAUUCUGAGGCUGCUGAGUUUGCUGAACACUUGUUUGGGGCACUCUGAACUAUAAGGCCCAGGACACAGAGAAGAGGCAUGCAUGGAUGGUAAUUUAAGAACUAGAAUAAAGCCCAAGAAACCUCAGCAACAGAACAAAGGAAGAGCCCAUUACCAGGACCUGUAGGUAAAUGCACGGUACAGUAUGUGCAAAUCUGUGCAUGGCUGGUGACUCACAUAAGAAAUACAAAGUAGAAUGAGAUACUGUUUCACAGAGUCUAUGAUUAUCUGGCAGUUUGUAAGAAAGCUAUUAGUCACUUCGGGCGAUGACAGAGGAAACAGGUGUUCUCUUAUGCUCACAGCCUGAGGGCAAAUUGAUUUUACCUUUCCAGGGGAGUGGUGCCAAUUUUUCUCUGUGUAGCAGAAUUCUUAACAUCUUGCACAACUUUUGACCUUUGAGAGUUUAUUUUCAGGAAACAGUGAGGCUAUGCACACAAAUUUAGUGACAUCCUCACUUUGAUGUUAUUUAUAGCAUUGAAAUUUUAAUACAUUAUCUGUCCAUUAAUAUGGGCAUCAUAAAGCAAAUUCCAGACAUAAAAUAGUGUUGUGGAUUAGUUUUAAUAAGACAAGAGUAUGAUAAUAGCAUAUCAAGUUUAAUACCUAGGCUUUAAAAUGUAUGUUUUGUAGUAUUACAAAAGAUUCUUCUUGUAGCAAGCAAUGGAAAUUCAACAAAAAAUGGUUAAGAGAGAGAAAGAAAAGGAAUGUAUUGCUCUCUACUAUUGGAAAGCCCAGGGGUCAUCAUGCCUUCAGGCAAGGUGGAUCACCAUUCGACAGCCCCUCCCUACCCCUUGCCGCCCACCCCCCCAAGUUGAGCAGUAUCCCUCUAGUAGGCUAGAUCCCCAGCCCUUGGCUCAGUCUUAUUUUAUAUUUACCCUUGAUAUUUAUAUUUACCCUUGAUAGACUUUAUUUGAUUUAUUUUGCAUCUCAGCCACAGUUUGCCCUCCCUCCUCGCCUCCAAGCCUCUCCCCGAUCCCCUUCUUCCCCCUUUCUUCCCUCACCAUCUCUUCAGAACAGGGCAAGCCUUGAUGGAUAUCAGCCAGCCAUGGCAUACCAAGCCGCAAUAUGACUAGGCACCUCCUUUUCUUUUAAGCCUAGACAAGGCAGCCCAGGAGGAGGAAAGAGUCCCAAAGGCAGGCAACAGUCAGAAGCAGCACCUGCUUCCACCGUUAGACGUCCCACUGAAGGCCAAGCUACACAGCUGUAAAGUAUGUGUUUCUACAGGGGUGUUAAAGACGACUGUCAGCGCCACUGGGCUUGUGGAUUUUGUUUGUGGUUUUG